UUAAGUUCAGCGGUAGCUCCUCGAUUUGAGGUCAAAUUGUCAAAAUUGUCCAAGUCAAUGAACGAUUAGAAGCUGAACUUCAUAAAGCUGCUUCACAUCCACGGCGUAGAUAAUUAUCACACCAAUAGACGGUCCACAAAAGUUCCGCUAAUCCAUUUAAGGAGAGCCGACCUCAUUUAAUGAAGCCCGCAACCCCCACA
rnacentral:misc_RNA from 1 species